AUGGAUGCCCUCCACCUACCUCCCGGGACCCCAGGUCUGGGUAGCUGCCCCUCCAGAGAGAACCCAAGCAUCCGAGGUCCUGGUCACUAUGACCCCUGCUAUUGGGUGGCUUCUAUUUCUGGCUGCAGAGGAAGCCACAGUUCCUGGCAAGUUCGAGUUCCUGACCAUCGUCCCGGCCCACGGAGACAUUUACCUGGACACCUCCUAUUAUUCAUCUGCAAAGUGUCUGGCCGGGAAGUUGAGGCUCGCUUUCGCUGGCUGGGACCUGAUGGGGAGGAGGCGGCUCUUGGAGGGUCCUCCUUCUCGGCUGAGCCCAUCUACGAGGCUUCAGUGGGGCUCCGAGUGACCCUGAGCGAGCCAGGUCAAGGUCGGGUAUCAGUGCAGGAUGGAACUCUGACCAUCCGGGACCUGGAGCCUUCGGAUGCUGAGGUUUACACUUGCGAGGCGUCCAUAGCCGAGCGCAUGGAGAGCGCGCGGGAGAACGAGAAGCUGAGAGUGACUUUCCGUCCCCGGCUGGAGGGACCCAAGGGGAACGCAGGGGUCUUCUAA
rnacentral:lncRNA from 1 species